UGGGGGAUUUUGCACAAUGGGCGCAAGCCUGAUGCAGCGACGCCGCGUGAGGGAUGAAGGCCUUCGGGUUGUAAACCUCUUUCGCUGGGUUGAAAGGCCAUGCUUUCGGUGUGGUUGAUUUGAACUGGUAAAGAAGUACCGGCUAACUACGUGCCAGCAGCCGCGGUAAUACGUAGGGUACUAGCGUUGUCCGGAUUUAUUGGGCGUAAAGGGCUUGUAGGUGGUUUGUCGCGUCUGUCGUGAAAUCCUGUGGCUUAACCAUGGGCUUGCGGUGGGUACGGGCAGGCUUGAGUGCGGUAGGGGAGACUGGAAUUCCGGGUGUAGCGGUGGAAUGCGCAGAUAUCAGGAGGAACACCGGUGGCGAAGGCGGGUCUCUGGGCCGUUACUGACACUGAGGAGCGAAAGCGUGGGGAGCGAACAGG
rnacentral:rRNA from 1 species